AUACGUAGGGUGCGAGCGUUAAUCGGAAUUACUGGGCGUAAAGCGUGCGCAGGCGGUUAUAUAAGACCGAUGUGAAAUCCCCGGGCUCAACCCGGGGACUGCAUAUGUGCCUGUGUAACUAGAGUACGGUAGAGGGGGAUGGAAUACCGCGUUUAGCAGGGAAAUGCGUAGAUAUGCGGAGGAACACCGAUGGCGAAGGCAAUCCCCUGGACCUGUACUGACGCUCAUGCACGAAAGCGUGGGGAGCAAACAGGAUUAGAUACCCUGGUAGUCCACGCCCUAAACGAUGUCAACUGGUUGUUGGGUCUUCACUGACUCAGUAACGAAGCUAACGCGUGAAGUUGACCGCCUGGGGAGUACGGCCGCAAGGUUGAAACUUAAAGGAAUUGACGGGG
rnacentral:rRNA from 1 species